rnacentral:rRNA from 1 species
GUUAAAAAGCUCGUAGUCGGAUUUCGGGGCGGGGCGACCGGUCUGCCGAUGGGUAUGCACUGGUCGGCGCGUCCUUCCUUCCGGAGACCGUGCCUACUCUUAACUGAGCGGGGGCGGGAGACGGAUCGUUUACUUUGAAAAAAUCAGAGUGUUUCAAGCAGGCGUCUCGCCUUUGCAUGGAUUAGCAUGGGAUAAUGAAAUAGGACUUUGGUGCUAUUUUGUUGGUUUCGAACACCGAAGUAAUGAUUAACAGGGACAGUCAGGGGCACUCGUAUUCCGUCGAGAGAGGUGAAAUUCUCAGACCAAUGGAAGACGAACAACUGCGAAAGCAUUUGCCAGGGAUGUUUUCACUGAUCAAGAACGAAAGUUAGGGGAUCGAAGACGAUCAGAUACCGUCGUAGUCUUAACCAUAAACCAUGCCGACUAGGGAUCGGAGGAUGUUAGAUUUGACUCCUUCGGCACCUUACGGGAAACUAAAGUCUUUGGGUUCCGGGGGGAGUAUGGUCGCAAGGCUGAAACUUAAAGGAAUUGACGGAAGGGCACCACCAGGAGUGGAGCCUGCGGCUUAAUUUGACUCAACACGGGGAAACUUACCAGGUCCAGACAUUGUAAGGAUUGACAGAUUGAGAGCUCUUUCUUGAUUCGAUGGGUGGUGGUGCAUGGCCGUUCUUAGUUGGUGGAGUGAUUUGUCUGGUUAAU